GGCCCUGUGGUGAAGUUCAUAUUAGAUUGCAAAUCUGAAGAUACAGAGAUAAUUCUGUUGGGGUCU